rnacentral:tRNA from 1 species
ACCCAGCUGGCUCAGUUGGUAGAGCGUGCAACUCUUGAUCUCAGGGCUGUGACUUCAAGCCCCAUGCUGGGUG